AUUGAACGCUGGCGGAAUGCUUUACACAUGCAAGUCGAACGGUAGAGGGGGCAACCCCUCGAGAGUGGCGAACGGGUGAGUAAUAUAUCGGAACGUGCCCAGUCGUGGGGGAUAACGUAGCGAAAGUUACGCUAAUACCGCAUACGAUCUAAGGAUGAAAGCGGGGGAUCGCAAGACCUCGCGCGAUUGGAGCGGCCGAUAUCAGAUUAGGUAGUUGGUGGGGGAAAGGCUCACCAAGCCAACGAUCUGUAGCUGGUCUGAGAGGACGACCGGCCACACUGGAACUGAGACACGGUCCAGACUCCUACGGGAGGCAGCAGUGGGGAAUUUUGGACAAUGGACGCAAGUCUGAUCCAGCCAUUCCGCGUGCAGGAUGAAGGCCCUCGGGUUGUAAACUGCUUUUGUACGGAACGAAAAGGUCUCUCUUAAUACGGGGGGCUCAUGACGGUACCGUAAGAAUAAGCACCGGCUAACUACGUGCCAGCCGCCGCUGUAA
rnacentral:rRNA from 1 species